AGCGACCUAAGGAUGCCUGAGUGGUAUAAGUUCGUCUACAGUCCUCCGCUCUACCAACUGAGCUAUCGGUGGAUGUAGCAUCGUACAGUUCUUGUGCAGGACUAUGCAGGUCAUGUCACGUUUGUAGUAUGACGUGGUUUUUAAAAUGAUGCGAUAGCUCGCACGUAGCAGAGGGUGGUUUCGAUCCACCGACCUCUGGGUUAUGGGCCCAGCACGCUUCCUCUGCGCCACUCUGCUGAAGGUAGGUAAGCUGAAAUGUGUCUCAUGUAAGGUGUAGUUUAGUAUUGCGAACAGCACUCGAACUAUGACCUUUUUACCAUUUCCAGGGGGAUUAGCUCACAUGGUAGAGCGCUCGCUUUGCAUGCGAGAGGUACCGGGAUCGAUGCCCGGGUUCUCCAAUGCCUUUUCCAUAGGCGUAAAAUGAAUGAAAUUUGCGCAGAGCAAUUUGCAGCAGCGUUCGUGUCAUGUCGGGAUGGCCGAGCGGUCUAAGGCGCCAGACUCAAGACAAAAUGUUCUUCCACUCAUCGCGUGGAGAAUUCUGGUCCUCGAAUGAGGGCGUGGGUUCGAAUCCCACUUCCGACAACUUUUCCCUGCCACACAAAAUUUUAGGCCUAAAAUGCAAGUCCACCGAGCCGGAUUUGAACCAGCGACCUAAGGAUGCCUGAGUGGUAUAAGUUCGUCUACAGUCCUCCGCUCUACCAACUGAGCUAUCGGUGGAUGUAGCAUCGUACAGUUCUUGUGCAGGACUAUGCAGGUCAUGUCACGUUUGUAGUAUGACGUGGUUUUUAAAAUGAUGCGAUAGCUCGCACGUAGCAGAGGGUGGUUUCGAUCCACCGACCUCUGGGUUAUGGGCCCAGCACGCUUCCUCUGCGCCACUCUGCUGAAGGUAGGUAAGCUGAAAUGUGUCUCAUGUAAGGUGUAGUUUAGUAUUGCGAACAGCACUCGAACUAUGACCUUUUUACCAUUUCCAGGGGGAUUAGCUCACAUGGUAGAGCGCUCGCUUUGCAUGCGAGAGGUACCGGGAUCGAUGCCCGGAUCCUCCAAGACGAUGUUUUUAAUUUAUUUAUUUUUAUACUCAUUUCAGUAGUUGCCAAUGGUCAUAAGAGGAUUUAUGAUGCUCGUAAGAUUACCUGGUAUUAAUAAUAAUAAUAAUAAUACUAAACCGCGCUGCAUAUGUCUAGAGCAUUUCUUGCUGUUUAAUUUCGCAUUGACAGUAUACACAGUUUCAGCUUUUAACAUGAUCGACCGUGUGGCAUUCGGGCAUUGACGCCAUCGCGAACAUAUUAUUUAAAUAUGAACUCGUCCUCGGUAGUAUAGUGGUAAGUAUCCCCGCCUGUCACGCGGGAGACCGGGGUUCGAUUCCCCGCCGGGGAGGUUCUUUUUAUCUUGUCAAUGUUUCGUUUCACGUCAGUAGCGUUCGCGGGACUGUCCGGGAAUACAGAUUUACGCCCGGUUAGCUCAGUCGGUAGAGCAUCAGACUUUUAAUCUGAGGGUCGCGGGUUCGAGUCCCUCAUCGGGCGUAACAAUUAUUUGGUACGAUGGUGAACUAACUUUCACCACAAUGUCUUGUCGAAAGAGGAUGAAUAACGUAACAUUUGCGGAGUGGCAAAGGCGAAGCAAACUUGAUGGGGAACUAGCUCAGAUGGUAGAGCGCUCGCUUAGCAUGCGAGAGGUACCGGGAUCGAUGCCCGGGUUCUCCAAUGCCUUUUCCAUAGGCGUAAAAUGAAUGAAAUUUGCGCAGAGCAAUUUGCAGCAGCGUUCGUGUCAUGUCGGGAUGGCCGAGCGGUCUAAGGCGCCAGACUCAAGACAAAAUGUUCUUCCACUCAUCGCGUGGAGAAUUCUGGUCCUCGAAUGAGGGCGUGGGUUCGAAUCCCACUUCCGACAACUUUUCCCUGCCACACAAAAUUUUAGGCCUAAAAUGCAAGUCCACCGAGCCGGAUUUGAACCAGCGACCUAAGGAUGCCUGAGUGGUAUAAGUUCGUCUACAGUCCUCCGCUCUACCAACUGAGCUAUCGGUGGAUGUAGCAUCGUACAGUUCUUGUGCAGGACUAUGCAGGUCAUGUCACGUUUGUAGUAUGACGUGGUUUUUAAAAUGAUGCGAUAGCUCGCACGUAGCAGAGGGUGGUUUCGAUCCACCGACCUCUGGGUUAUGGGCCCAGCACGCUUCCUCUGCGCCACUCUGCUGAAGGUAGGUAAGCUGAAAUGUGUCUCAUGUAAGGUGUAGUUUAGUAUUGCGAACAGCACUCGAACUAUGACCUUUUUACCAUUUCCAGGGGGAUUAGCUCACAUGGUAGAGCGCUCGCUUUGCAUGCGAGAGGUACCGGGAUCGAUGCCCGGAUCCUCCAAGACGAUGUUUUUAAUUUAUUUAUUUUUAUACUCAUUUCAGUAGUUGCCAAUGGUCAUAAGAGGAUUUAUGAUGCUCGUAAGAUUACCUGGUAUUAAUAAUAAUAAUAAUAAUACUAAACCGCGCUGCAUAUGUCUAGAGCAUUUCUUGCUGUUUAAUUUCGCAUUGACAGUAUACACAGUUUCAGCUUUUAACAUGAUCGACCGUGUGGCAUUCGGGCAUUGACGCCAUCGCGAACAUAUUAUUUAAAUAUGAACUCGUCCUCGGUAGUAUAGUGGUAAGUAUCCCCGCCUGUCACGCGGGAGACCGGGGUUCGAUUCCCCGCCGGGGAGGUUCUUUUUAUCUUGUCAAUGUUUCGUUUCACGUCAGUAGCGUUCGCGGGACUGUCCGGGAAUACAGAUUUACGCCCGGUUAGCUCAGUCGGUAGAGCAUCAGACUUUUAAUCUGAGGGUCGCGGGUUCGAGUCCCUCAUCGGGCGUAACAAUUAUUUGGUACGAUGGUGAACUAACUUUCACCACAAUGUCUUGUCGAAAGAGGAUGAAUAACGUAACAUUUGCGGAGUGGCAAAGGCGAAGCAAACUUGAUGGGGAACUAGCUCAGAUGGUAGAGCGCUCGCUUAGCAUGCGAGAGGUACCGGGAUCGAUGCCCGGGUUCUCCAAUGCCUUUUCCAUAGGCGUAAAAUGAAUGAAAUUUGCGCAGAGCAAUUUGCAGCAGCGUUCGUGUCAUGUCGGGAUGGCCGAGCGGUCUAAGGCGCCAGACUCAAGACAAAAUGUUCUUCCACUCAUCGCGUGGAGAAUUCUGGUCCUCGAAUGAGGGCGUGGGUUCGAAUCCCACUUCCGACAACUUUUCCCUGCCACACAAAAUUUUAGGCCUAAAAUGCAAGUCCACCGAGCCGGAUUUGAACCAGCGACCUAAGGAUGCCUGAGUGGUAUAAGUUCGUCUACAGUCCUCCGCUCUACCAACUGAGCUAUCGGUGGAUGUAGCAUCGUACAGUUCUUGUGCAGGACUAUGCAGGUCAUGUCACGUUUGUAGUAUGACGUGGUUUUUAAAAUGAUGCGAUAGCUCGCACGUAGCAGAGGGUGGUUUCGAUCCACCGACCUCUGGGUUAUGGGCCCAGCACGCUUCCUCUGCGCCACUCUGCUGAAGGUAGGUAAGCUGAAAUGUGUCUCAUGUAAGGUGUAGUUUAGUAUUGCGAACAGCACUCGAACUAUGACCUUUUUACCAUUUCCAGGGGGAUUAGCUCACAUGGUAGAGCGCUCGCUUUGCAUGCGAGAGGUACCGGGAUCGAUGCCCGGAUCCUCCAAGACGAUGUUUUUAAUUUAUUUAUUUUUAUACUCAUUUCAGUAGUUGCCAAUGGUCAUAAGAGGAUUUAUGAUGCUCGUAAGAUUACCUGGUAUUAAUAAUAAUAAUAAUAAUACUAAACCGCGCUGCAUAUGUCUAGAGCAUUUCUUGCUGUUUAAUUUCGCAUUGACAGUAUACACAGUUUCAGCUUUUAACAUGAUCGACCGUGUGGCAUUCGGGCAUUGACGCCAUCGCGAACAUAUUAUUUAAAUAUGAACUCGUCCUCGGUAGUAUAGUGGUAAGUAUCCCCGCCUGUCACGCGGGAGACCGGGGUUCGAUUCCCCGCCGGGGAGGUUCUUUUUAUCUUGUCAAUGUUUCGUUUCACGUCAGUAGCGUUCGCGGGACUGUCCGGGAAUACAGAUUUACGCCCGGUUAGCUCAGUCGGUAGAGCAUCAGACUUUUAAUCUGAGGGUCGCGGGUUCGAGUCCCUCAUCGGGCGUAACAAUUAUUUGGUACGAUGGUGAACUAACUUUCACCACAAUGUCUUGUCGAAAGAGGAUGAAUAACGUAACAUUUGCGGAGUGGCAAAGGCGAAGCAAACUUGAUGGGGAACUAGCUCAGAUGGUAGAGCGCUCGCUUAGCAUGCGAGAGGUACCGGGAUCGAUGCCCGGGUUCUCCAAUGCCUUUUCCAUAGGCGUAAAAUGAAUGAAAUUUGCGCAGAGCAAUUUGCAGCAGCGUUCGUGUCAUGUCGGGAUGGCCGAGUAUGGAGUCAUGUACUGGACAAAAGUCACGCUAUAGAGUGUCGUGUUGCGUAGUAGAGUGUCGAGGUUCAAUAUAGAUCCCAAGGUCGCGAGGCGUAGUAUAGGUGGACGCGAGGCGUAAUAGUGAGACGCGUAUGUAAUAAUAGAGAGACGCGAGGCGUAAUAGAAGGACGCGAGGCGUAAUAGAGAGACGCAAGGCGUAAUAGAGAGACGCGAGGCGUAAUAGAAGGACGCGAGGCGUAAUAGAGAGACGCGAGGCGUAAUAGAGAGACGCGAGGCGUAAUAGAAGGACGCGAGGCGUAAUAGAGAGACGCGAGGCGUAAUAGAAGGACGCGAGGCGUAAUAGAAAUACGUGUAAAGUCGGAGCGUAAUAAGAUGUGUGAUGGGAGGAUCCGUGUCAGAGAAAGAACUACGCUUACAUACAUCUUCACUUUUUUCUUGUCAUGAAUACUUUAAAAGGAAAAAAUGAAAAAAAAAGAUUCCAUACUUGGUGUACAAGGGCUACUAGUU